ensembl:snRNA U6 U6 spliceosomal RNA
GUACUUGCUUUGACAGCAUAAAUACUAAAAUUGGGUCAAUUCAAAAUAGAUUAGCAUGGGCCCUGUACAAGAAUGAUGCACAAAUUUGUGAAGCAUUCCACAUUUUU